ensembl:lncRNA
CCCGCCCCGCCCCCGUCCGCGGAGGCCCACACUAGGCCACGCCCCGUCGGCAACGCCCCUCUCCGAUGCUUGGGUCCUGAGUGCCAGCGCUGUUUCCCAGCGUGGGUGUCCCAAUUGGGGUCACGCUGUCCUUGCCCGUUGCCACGGUGGCCAAAGCCCUCGAGAGGCGAGGCCACCAAGCAUCCUGUCCCCACUUUGUGGGUGUCCAGGCGGGACCUCAAACCGGCAAGCGAACCGCCCUCCUUCCCCCAUGGUGGGAUAAAGCACGUUUUCAUUUAGGGAUGAUGAAGUUAGUAAUUUUCCCUUUAUAUCAUUUCCACCCACUAGGCUGGUACCUAUGAAAAGCCCCAGAAUUACUGUCGGCCAGGAUGUGGAGAAACUGGAAUUCUUGUGCACUGUUGGGAAUGUAAAAGUGGCGCCGCUGCUGUUAAGAGUUUGUUUCCCUACCAAAGCUGAAUACAGAAUUACUGUAUGAUCCAGCAGUAUAGCUUCUGAGUAUAUAUCCACAAGAACUGAAAGCAAGCCUCCAGGAGUCAUUUAGAAAGGCACUGGCAGGACCAGUUUGAAAGAACUGAAAUCCAGAAGGGGUGGCAUUCACACAAAGGUUGUGCACCAUCUCCAGGUGCUUAUGAUGUUAGCACAUCAGAGGUAUCUAAAGGACCAGCAUCGUUCCAGAAAUCACAAAGAUUUAAAAAACAAAAGAAUCUCAGCAAAAUCUUAAUGUUGACGAAGAUACCACCUUGCCUGCUUCAGCAAAGAAAGCUAAGCCUUGGAGGGAAUCUCAGAAGGGG